CAGUAGCCGCGGGAAUACGUAGGUGGCAAGCGUUGUCCGGAAUUAUUGGGCGUAAAGGGCUCGCAGGCGGUUUCUUAAGUCUGAUGUGAAAGCCCCCGGCUCAACCGGGGAGGGUCAUUGGAAACUGGGAAACUUGAGUGCAGAAGAGGAGAGUGGAAUUCCACGUGUAGCGGGGAAAUGCGUAGAGAUGUGGAGGAACACCAGUGGCGAAGGCGACUCUCUGGUCUGUAACUGACGCUGAGGAGCGAAAGCGUGGGGAGCGAACAGGAUUAGAGACCCCAGUAGUCCCUGUCUCUUAUAC
rnacentral:rRNA from 1 species